GAAAUAUACAGGGUGACCUUAGCCAUUGGACAAACCCUGAAAUCCCACGUAGGGUUACUUCUCAGAAAUGCUCAAACGGUAUUUUUUUUUAAUUAGAACAAAAGAUAAAAAAAAAAAUUUCAAACAAAACUAGUUUCCAAUAAUCGACAACAAAAAGAAGCACACUGUAUUAAUCAUUGGCAGUGCUUUUGCCAAUUUGUUUGAAAAUGUGCGGCAAUGAUGACAUUUGUCAAAAGUCAGAAUCUUAUUAAUGUCAUAAAUAAAAAAGAUAAUCAAAACGGUCGAAGACGGUUUCAUACUAUUUAUUAGUUUUAUUACCUCAGGAGCUACUUGCACAUACAGGUUGCUCCAAAGUAAAAAAAUCGUAGCUUGUUAAUUUCUUCGUAACCGCUACACCGAUUGUUAUGAUACUUUGUAUACUGGUUCUAAAUACCCUAAAGCAUAUGUACAUUUCGGCUCUGUCCAAUGGCUAGGGACACCCUGUAUA